CGGGAAUUUUGGGCAAUGGGCGAAAGCCUGACCCAGCAACGCCGCGUGAGGGAUGAAGUAUUUCGGUAUGUAAACCUCGAAAGAAUGGGAAGAAUAAAUGACGGUACCAUUUAUAAGCUCCGGCUAACUACGUGCCAGCAGCCGCGGUAAUACGUAGGGAGCAAGCGUUGUUCGGAUUUACUGGGCGUAAAGGGCGCGUAGGCGGCGCGGUAAGUCACUUGUGAAAUCUCUGAGCUUAACUCAGAACGGCCAAGUGAUACUGCUGUGCUAGAGUGCGGAAGAGGCAACCGGAAUUCCUGGUGUAGCGGUGAAAUGCGUAGAUAUCAAGAGGAACACCUGAGGCGAAGGCGGGUUGCUGGGCCGACACUGACGCUGAUGCGCGAAAGCCAGGGGAGCAAACG
rnacentral:rRNA from 1 species